rnacentral:rRNA from 1 species
GACGAACGCUGGCGGCGUGCUUAACACAUGCAAGUCGAACGGUAAGGCCCUUCGGGGUACACGAGUGGCGAACGGGUGAGUAACACGUGGGUGAUCUGCCCUGCACUUCGGGAUAAGCCUGGGAAACUGGGUCUAAUACCGGAUAGGACCAUUGCCUGCAUGGGUGGUGGGGGAAAGCUUUUGCGGUGGCUGGGAUGGGCCCGCGGCCUAUCAGCUUGUUGGUGGGGUGAUGGCCUACCAAGGCGACGACGGGUAGCCGGCCUGCGGGGGUGACCGGCCACACUGGGACUGAGAUACGGCCCAGACUCCUACGGGAGGCAGCAGUGGGGAAUAUUGCACAAUGGGCGCAAGCCUGAUGCAGCGACGCCGCGUGAGGGAUGACGGCCUUCGGGUUGUAAACCUCUUUCAGCACCGACGAAGCGCAAGUGACGGUAGGUGCAGAAGAAGGACCGGCCAACUACGUGCCAGCCGCCGCGGUAA